rnacentral:rRNA from 1 species
UUCCGGUUGAUCCUGCCGGAGGCGACCGCUAUUGGAAUUCGAUUAAGCCAUGCGAGUCGAGAGUCGUAAUGGACUCGGCAUACUGCUCAGUAACACGUGGAUAACCUGCCCUGUUCUAGGGGAUAACCUCGAGAAAUUGAGAAUAAUACCCUAUAUUCCACUACGCCUGGAACGGUGAGUGGAUUAAAACUCCGGUGGAACAGGAUGGGUCUGCGGCAUAUCAGGUAGUAGUGGGUGUAACGGACCCACUAGCCUUCGACGUGUACGGGUUGUGGGAGCAAUCGCCCGGAGAUGGAUUCUGAGACACGAAUCCAGACCCCACGGGGUGCAGCAGGCGCGAAAACUUCACACUGCGGGAAACCGCGAUGAGGGAAUUCCAAGUGUCUGGGGUAAGACCCAGUCUUUUCUAGACUCUUAAUAGGUCUUGGAAUAAGGGGGGGGUAAGACCGGUGCCAGCCGCCGCGGUAAUACCGGCCCCCCAAGUGGUCGUCGCUUUUAUUGGGCCUAAAACGUCCGUAGCCGGUUUGGUACAUUCGUGGGUAAAUCAAGGCGCUCAACGUCUUGAAUUCUGCGAGCACGGCCAGACUUGGGACCGGGUGAGGUGUGGGGUACUCUCAGGGUAGGGGUAAAAUCCUGUCAUCCUGAGAGGACCACCUGUUGCGAAGGCGCCACACUAGAACGGAUCCGACGGUCAGGGACGAAGCCUAGGGGCACGAACCGGAUUAGAUACCCGGGUAGUCCUAGGUGUAAACGCUGUGGACUUGAUGUUGGGAGUGCUCCGAGCACCCUCAGUGUCGAAGCGAAGGUGAUAAGUCCACUGCCUGGGGAGUACGGUCGCAAGGCUGAAACUUAAAGGAAUUGGCGGGGGAGCACUGCAACCUGAGGAUUGUGCGGUUUAAUUGGAGUCAACGCCGG